rnacentral:rRNA from 1 species
GAUGAACGCUGGCGGCGUGCCUAAUACAUGCAAGUCGAGCGAACGGACGAGAAGCUUGCUUUUCUGAUGUUAGCGGCGGACGGGUGAGUAACACGUGGAUAACCUACCUAUAAGACUGGGAUAACUUCGGGAAACCGGAGCUAAUACCGGAUAAUAUUUUGAGCCGCAUGGUUCAAAAGUGAAAGACGGUCUUGCUGUCACUUAUAGAUGGAUCCGCGCUGCAUUAGCUAGUUGGUAAGGUAACGGCUUACCAAGGCAACGAUGCAUAGCCGACCUGAGAGGGUGAUCGGCCACACUGGAACUGAGACACGGUCCAGACUCCUACGGGAGGCAGCAGUAGGGAAUCUUCCGCAAAGGGCGAAAGCCUGACGGAGCAACGCCGCGUGAGUGAUGAAGGUCUUCGGAUCGUAAAACUCUGUUAUUAGGGAAGAACAUAUGUGUAAGUAACUGUGCACAUCUUGACGGUACCUAAUCAGAAAGCCACGGCUAACUACGUG